rnacentral:lncRNA from 1 species
GUGCUAUUAUGCUUAAGGAAGCACACAAUGUACUUCACAACACAGGACAAGCUGGACAAGUGUCAAAAUCUCCAAGAAAAUAAACUGUGAAAACUUAUAUGUAUUUAACUAUGAAUUAAGUACAUGAAAACUGACCAGUUUUUGCUCUUUUUCUUCCAGUUCACCUCCAUGUGGCAUCUCAGGAAGAGGAAGAUAUUUUCCCAAGAGAAGGCAAAAGUUGGAUUGUCCUGAUACAACCAAAAGGACAUUCAUACACCAACAGAGGACAUAUAUGCAUCACAACAGAUGUCUGAGAGACCCACGCAGCCACACGCUUGAAGAUGGUGGUGGAGCUGGAUCCUCUGGAGGAAGUGGAAGUUGAUCUCCAGAAGCUCCAUGGAGAGAGAUGGGCCAUGGUGGUGGCAAGUGCACAGGUGAAAAGGGCACCCCAUCCCCGCCUGGUACUCGAGCCCCAGAAUCGUCCAGAGCACAGUGCAGUGAGCAUUGUAGUAGCAGCAGGGAAAGUUUGCAGCCCCAGGAUCGCCCAGUUCACAGUGUGGAGAAUGUGGCAGCAGUGAAGGGGAAAGUGCACAGGAGAGAGAGGUGCCCCAUCCACG